GCUGGUUUGCCCGAGAGGUUAAGGGGGAAGACUUAAGAUCUUCUGCACACAAGUGCGCAAGGGUUCGAACCCCAUAGCCAGCA
rfam:Nicotiana attenuata strain TT chromosome 7, whole genome shotgun sequence.